rnacentral:rRNA from 1 species
UAGGGAAUCUUCGGCAAUGGGGGGAACCCUGACCGAGCAACGCCGCGUGAGUGAAGAAGGUUUUCGGAUCGUAAAGCUCUGUUGUUAAGGAAGAACGAGUGUGAGAAUGGAAAGUUCAUACUGUGACGGUACUUAACCAGAAAGGGACGGCUAACUACGUGCCAGCAGCCGCGGUAAUACGUAGGUCCCGAGCGUUGUCCGGAUUUAUUGGGCGUAAAGCGAGCGCAGGCGGUUAGAUAAGUCUGAAGUUAAAGGCAGUGGCUCAACCAUUGUAAGCUUUGGAAACUGUUUAACUUGAGUGCAGAAGGGGAGAGUGGAAUUCCAUGUGUAGCGGUGAAAUGCGUAGAUAUAUGGAGGAACACCGGUGGCGAAAGCGGCUCUCUGGUCUGUAACUGACGCUGAGGCUCGAAAGCGUGGGGAGCGAACAGG